rnacentral:rRNA from 1 species
UGCAGCAACGCCGCGUGAGGGAUGACGGCCUUCGGGUUGUAAACCUCUUUUAGUAGGGAAGAAGCGAAAGUGACGGUACCUGCAGAAAAAGCACCGGCUAACUACGUGCCAGCAGCCGCGGUAAUACGUAGGGUGCAAGCGUUGUCCGGAAUUAUUGGGCGUAAAGAGCUCGUAGGCGGUUUGUCGCGUCUGCUGUGAAAUCUGGGGGCUCAACCCCCAGCCUGCAGUGGGUACGGGCAGACUAGAGUGCGGUAGGGGAGAUUGGAAUUCCUGGUGUAGCGGUGGAAUGCGCAGAUAUCAGGAGGAACACCGAUGGCGAAGGCAGAUCUCUGGGCCGUUACUGACGCUGAGGAGCGAAAGCGUGGGGAGCGAACAGGAUUAGAUACCCUGGUAGUCCACGCCGUAAACGUUGGGAACUAGAUGUGGGGGCCAUUCCACGGUCUCCGUGUCGCAGCUAACGCAUUAAGUUCCCCGCCUGGGGAGUACGGCCGCAAGGCUAAAACUCAAAGGAAUUGACGGGGGCCCGCACAAGCGGCGGAGCAUGCGGAUUAAUUCGAUGCAACGCGAAGAACCUUACCAAGGCUUGACAUAUACCGGAAACGUCCAGAGAUGGUCGCCCCGCAAG